rnacentral:rRNA from 1 species
GACGAACGCUGGCGGCAGGCUUAACACAUGCAAGUCGAGCGAGCGGCGGACGGGUGAGUAAUGUCUGGGAAACUGCCUGAUGGAGGGGGAUAACUACUGGAAACGGUAGCUAAUACCGCAUACCAUCAGAUGUGCCCAGAUGGGAUUAGCUAGUAGGUGGGGUAAUGGCUCACCUAGGCGACGAUCCCUAGCUGGUCUGAGAGGACGACCAGCCACACUGGGACUGAGACACGGCCCAGACUCCUACGGGAGGCAGCAGUGGGGAAUUUUGGACAAUGGGGGAAACCCUGAUCCAGCCAUCCCGCGUGUGCGAUGAAGGCCUUCGGGUUGUAAAGCACUUUCAGCGAGGAGGCGUUACUCGCAGAAGAAGCACCGGCUAACUCCGUGCCAGCAGCCGCGGUAAUUC